AUACGGAGGGUCCGAGCGUUAAUCGGAAUUACUGGGCGUAAAGCGCGCGUAGGUGGUUCAGUCAGUCAGAUGUGAAAGCCCCGGGCUCAACCUGGGAACUGCACCUGAUACUGCUGAGCUAGAGUACGGUAGAGGGCAGUGGAAUUUCCGGUGUAGCGGUGAAAUGCGUAGAGAUCGGAAGGAACACCAGUGGCGAAGGCGAUUGCAUGAGCUGAUACUGACACUGAGGUGGAAAAGCGUGGGAAGCAAACAGGAUUAGAUACCCUGGUAGUCCACGCCGUAAACGAUGUCAACUAGCCGUUGGGGGACUUGAUCCUUUAGUGGCGAAGCUAACGCGAUAAGUUGACCGCCUGGGGAGUACGGCCGCAAGGUUAAAACUCAAAUGAAUUGACGGGG
rnacentral:rRNA from 1 species